CUUCAUUUAUUAAAAUACAAUCUCUGAAAAGCAGUUUGUUUGGAGGCGUAUGAAAUCCAGUGCUGUGUUUAUCUAGGUGCGAGGAUACAAGUGAGUUGGCUUCCAUUCGGACGUCUACGAUGAGACGAUGGACAGGGUGAGGCCUCGGCGUUGAUACAGAGUGCACUGGUGGUGGCAGAAUACAGCACGACCCCAGUGCCAAGGUCAUCAAAGUGUACAGCUACUCACAGGGGUUUGGGAAGGCAGACCACAGCAAGACUGUAGAAAUUCUGAAGACUGCAUAUCCUGUUU